GUAUUGAACACAAUUAAAUUAAAAACGUUAAUUUUGAUCACCGUAGUAACAUGGUUUUGUGAUUUGUUGGAAAGUAUACCUUUUUUUAUCACAAUUUUUUUUGGAAAAUCCCGGAACAUUUGUUAAUAAACCCGGACAAUUUCAUAGUUGCUCUCGAAAAAGCCCGGACAACACUCCUUUGUUUGUUAGAAACAAGGAAAUUAUUCUUCUUUGUUGAUCAAAACAUGUAAAGUAAUCCAUAUACGUUAGCUUGUCAUGAAAAAAAACUAUCAACAUUACGCAUAAGCAGUUAAUUGACCUUAUCGCAUGUUUUUUCACUCAAAAAAAAGCCCGAACUACACUCGAAAAAACGGACCGAAUAACUCGAAAACCCAUGAUCCUAGCCGGACACUAUACCUACCGUGAACAUCAUUUGAAAUACAAAUUGAAACACAAUAUAAAAUCACCACCUACAACCCUGAACAGAUGACUGACAUAGUAUGUACAUUAUGUCACGCGUAAAAGAUCAGUAUCAAAGCGUUGUCCGAUAUAUCUCAUUAAAUUCCAACUAUGACCCACAAGAAAAGUAAACAAACCUCUUUACCUUAUCCGUAAUGUUCAUGUAUUUUUCAGAAUGGAAAAGCAUCUUGAUAAAACUUGAUUUUUUUUUAAAUAAAGUAGCCCCUGUGAAUAUACUAGAUAAAGCGAAAUUGAAUAUUCUUGAAUUAUGGAAGCAUGUCAUGAUUAUCAUAAUCACUGUACACAAAGUAGCUUUGCUUUUAUUUUUGAUUUGUAUUUUCGUGUGGUGUUUAUCUUUGAAAUAUGAGUAAUUCAAAUCAAUUGAUUUCAUUGGUUCUUUUUAAUAACUUACUCGUAUAUUAACAUAUUACGUUUGUAUCUGCAUG
rnacentral:lncRNA from 1 species